rnacentral:rRNA from 1 species
CCUACGGGGGGCAGCAGUGAGGAAUAUUGGUCAAUGGUCGGGAGACUGAACCAGCCAAGCCGCGUGAGGGAUGAAGGUACAGAGUAUCGUAAACCUCUUUUGUCAGGGAACAAAGGCGGGGACGUGUCCCCGGAUGAGUGUACCUGAAGAAAAAGCAUCGGCUAACUCCGUGCCAGCAGCCGCGGUAAUACGGAGGAUGCGAGCGUUAUCCGGAUUUAUUGGGUUUAAAGGGUGCGCAGGCGGUCUGUUAAGUCGGCGGUAAAAGCCCGGGGCUCAACCCCGGCCCGCCGUUGAAACUGGCAGUCUCGAGUUGGAGAGAAGUAUGCGGAAUGCGCGGUGUAGCGGUGAAAUGCAUAGAUAGCGCGCAGAACUCCGAUUGCGAAGGCAGCAUGCCGGCUCCACACUGACGCUGAGGCACGAAAGCGUGGGUAUCGAACAGGAUUAGAUACCCGAGUAGUC